AGGCGGAGCCUGAUGGCGCACGGCGCGGGCAGGCCGGGGGCGGGGGGAGCGCCGGUUGGUCAGCCGACCCCGGCCGCGGACUUCCCGCAGCGACCCGGGCUGCCUCGGCCGAAGCCGCCGAGGACAGCAGGGCACCGCGCGGCCCCGGACGUCUCCUGCAGCCGGGUUGCCAUCCCGGCCACCCCCCGCCCCGGCACCCCCAGGCUCCCCGCGUGCCCAGGCCGCGCCUCCCCGCGCCGCGCCUCCCCACCGCCGGGACCUGGCGACGUCACUGCGGCUCUGAGCGCGCUAAUGGAGGCACGGGCGGCGGCGGCGUGGCGCGGGUGUCCCCCGGGGAGGUCCCGGUCCUUGCAGCCCGCGGCCGCGUCCUUGGCCCUCCUCCAGGGGAACCUCGAUUUUUCCAAUCUCAGGAAGGCCGGCUGUCCUUCGGCUACUGAUAAGGACGCGACCGCAUGGUAAAAGAUUUUAACAAUGCCCGGAAAGAAAUAGCCGGACCCAAGAAAGAGACUAAUAAUAGCAGCCCGCUAGAGUUCUGCUCGUGUGCUCAGCGCUCUUAAGAACAAUAAUAACGACAACAACCAUAAGAGCCACCAUUUAUUGAGCGCUUACUCUGUGCCAGGCACUGUGUUAAGCGUUUUGCAGGCAACAACCCUCGGAGAAGAGGCCACAAGACUGGUAAAUGGCAAUCUGGGCAUCCACCAGGAGGAUCUAACUUUAAUGCCAUGCUCCCAUCACCGGAAUGUACAAGCUGAUCCAACUGAACAGAGGAGGAACUGAUGUCCAGAAGUAAGCAGCCCAGGCUGGUACAGUAGCCCCGUGACCAUCAGGGACUCAGGCCCCUUCUACCUGGGGUUCUCCAUCGUCAGCGCAUGCCUUCCACUAGUGACCCAAGACCGCCAGUGGAGGAAGAAGCAGCAAAGAAGAGAGAGCCCUGUCUCCUCGAAGGAUGCUUCCUAGAAUUCACAUGCAUCACGCCUGCUUAUACCACGCUAGCCAGAACUAAGUCCCAUCCCGCCACCCCCAGGAAAUGGGAUUUAUCUGAAUAGAGCUUUUAUUACUAUAGAAAAAGGGAAGAACAGAUUUUGGGGGGCUAACUGGCAUCUCUGCCACAUUUUACAAACAUAUUUCCAGGGCACCUAGUUGUAUAUCCCAUUUUUUUCUUUUUUUGGUGAAUGUUUGACCACAUCAUUAAAUAUCCUUCCAUUUUUAAUGGCUGCUUCAUAUUCCAUAAUACGCAGGCUUAUCCUCUCUGC